rnacentral:rRNA from 1 species
GACGAACGCUGGCGGCGUGCUUAACACAUGCAAGUCGAACGAAAAGGCCCUGCUUUUGUGGGGUGCUCGAGUGGCGAACGGGUGAGUAACACGUGAGUAACCUGCCCUUGACUUUGGGAUAACUUCAGGAAACUGGGGCUAAUACCGGAUAGGAGCUCCUGCUGCAUGGUGGGGGUUGGAAAGUUUCGGCGGUUGGGGAUGGACUCGCGGCUUAUCAGCUUGUUGGUGGGGUAGUGGCUUACGAAGGCUUUGACGGGUAGCCGGCCUGAGAGGGUGACCGGCCACAUUGGGACUGAGAUACGGCCCAGACUCCUACGGGAGGCAGCAGUGGGGAAUAGUGCACAAUGGGCGGAAGCCUGAUGCAGCAACGCCGCGUGCGGGAUGACGGCCUUCGGGUUGUAAACCGCUUUCGCCUGUGACGAAGCGUGAGUGACGGUAAUGGGUAAAGAAGCACCGGCUAACUACGUG